AUAUAUAUAUAUAUAUAUCUGUGUGUGUGUUGCUCUAAGAUGCUUUACAUUAUAGAUGUUGUCCCGAGUUGUUGAUGAAAGACAAUUUUUUAAGCGACCCUACUUUUGUCAAGGAUGCUGCUGGACAGAGCCAAUUGGCAGGAAAGAUUGUGGGUUCUGUCCAAAGUGUCUAUUCAACUUCACGAGAAAGAACACUAUAUACGUGAAGGUAUCUUCGAUUGUUGUUUUCUCACAUUGACUUUUUUAUCACUGAUGUAGGAUUCAGACCUCAUCGGUAGCAUAUAUAGCACCCCUUCCAUAAUGUAAUAAGAGACGUUAUGCUCCUUGUACCUAUUUAUAUAAAUCUAUCCUUCUUUUUCCUUUGUAUAUAGGAAAAGGUUCUAUCAGUCUUUUUUUCAGCUGAAUGACGACUCGAUGUAUGUUUCUAUUAGGGAAAACAAAAAAAUUUGUUGACCGACUUUCAGUAGAAGUUGUUAUGACUUUCUAGAGUACGUACAGUUGCAUUUGCUUUGCUUCAAAUUUGGUCCAAAUCACUAACAUCCUAAAUGUACCGAUGUAUCUUUGUCUACUGGGAGCUUUUGAAUUUAGUUUCCUGAAAAAAAGGUGCUUGUGCUGUUCAUUGUCAAUAUAGGCAUUCAAGUAGAACCACUCUAUUUUGUGUCAAAGUCAAUUAAGUGCUCAUAAACCUUUUAUAUAAUUAUCGGUCAUCUACAACAUAACUUCCAGCUGCUUCCAGGAAAUGUUCCUAUUUUAAAUUUAUGUGAAGGAUAUAUGAAUGUUGUUUUCUCAAUUUUCAUUUCUUUUUGUGUUUAUGGUUAAAAAAUGAGCCCCCAAUGAUGAUAGCAUGAUAGAAUAUGUAAAUUGUUAGAUUUUCCCACAUUGGUUGAGAGAAUGAGUUAUUGUCUUAUAUGGUCUUGAACAAUCUUCACUCAUGAACUAGUUUUUAGGGUUGUGUUAGGCCCAAAGUCCAUUUCGCCAAAAUCAUUCAUCUUCUUGGUCUACCCAAUGAUGGGCUCCAUGUUACUCUCUAGUGAAUAGACAUGGGCGCGCGAGAGGUUGUUAGAUAUUGAGAAAAUGGAAUAUUGACUCCUUAUAUAGUUUUGGGCAAUUCUCAGCUUUUGGAGUUUAGCAAAGUUGCAACUCCAUUUUCUUAGCAUAAAUAUAGUAACUGAGUUAAAAAAAAGCAGAAGUAAAUUUUUUGUUCUUGUUGAUUGCUGACCACUUUAUCCUGACAUGUCUUUCAAGGUGCACAAGCUAUGUGCCAACGUGCACCAAUUUGGUUUUAGAAUAUACGAAAUCGCUCUUUGAUAUUAAUAUAAUUUUAAAGUAUGAGGGUCUUCUGAUAACAUUUAUUUACUCCUCUUCCUGCAGCAAAAAAGGGUAUAGAGAGUGUGAUGAGUGCAUUAGGAAUUGAUGGUGGUGAUUCAAUAGCUCAUCCAGCUUUGGCCUUCUAUAGGUUGAGAGGAAUUUCACAAGGGGACGUAGGAAAGAGCAAGUUGAAGCUGCUUGUGUUUACAUUGUUUGUAGGUGAGAGAUUGUGUUUUAUGGUUUUAUUUUUCAGCAUAUUUCUGCUCUCUAAGGGCUCGUUUGGUUGGGAACAAGUUAAUUUUCCUGGGAUUAGUUAUCCAAGGAUUGUUAUUCCACCCUCAAUGCGGGAUAAAAAUAACACUACAAUCCCGGGGUAAGUUAUCCCAACCAAACAUAUAAUGGGAUAAACUCAUCUUAAAAUUAAUCGUGGGAUUAGUUAUCCUUAUCCCUUAUCCCUCCUACCCAACCCUAAGAGAAAAAAAAGAAGUGGGAUAACGUGUAAUGACGCUUAAGAUGUUGACUUAAAUUAUGUCAGCCAUGCAUCAGUGUUUAGAGAGCAAAACCACUUCUUUUUAAGAGACAGAAAUUUAGAGAAAGAAGAGAAGGGACCAAAACUUUAGCUCUGAAAAAUAAGAAUAGAAGAAGAGAAUACAGGAAUGCUUGAUUAUUGCAUCAAGCUGCGGGGUCUAAAUAACGUUUACAAGAAAUACAAAUAAGGAAAAUAAAGACAACAAUUACGUUCUCACAAAAUCUUUCAAUUUCCAUAUUAAGGGGAUUUGAGAAUCUUACAUAGUAUAGGUUUUGCCAUAUUUAACAGGGGCUAAAAUGAUACAUUAUAAAUUUUGCUAGCUUUUUGGUGCAACCUGGUUAUUGUACAAGAUGUUGAUGCAUGCAAUUUUAAAAUACAAUGGGGGAUCUGUAGUUAUAUUUUCUCGCACUAGUUUAGUGCAACCAUUUAUAAAAUCUAUGAUUACUUAUCAACAAAAAUUGUGCUAUAUUAUGCAGCACAGAGGGAUACAAAGUUUGUCAUUAAUACAUGCAUCAAAAGAGUAAUUAGGGCAAUUAUAGUUUUCAUUCAAUCUUUUUUCUCGGUCCAAGCUACUUUACUAGUGACAAAUUUAUGUUUACUUUUCUUGCAGGGAAAGCAAAAAGCCAUUCCUACUCAUUGAGUACUUGAUGAUAAAUGUGUAAGUGAGCCUAUUUCUACAAAAAAUCUUAAAACUCAUUCUCUUUCAUUCUUCUUUUGAUGUAACACUUUGGAUCAAUAAUCUUGAGCAAAAACUAAAUGAUUGCCCUGCCCUUAAGGUCAGGAGUUCUUGUCACCCUGCUUAGUGUUGUGAUAUUCUAUUUAACCCUUUGAUCUUUCUUGUAGUUAUAUAUAUAUCGUGAAACAGAUCUUACAUGUGAAUCUUGUGUGGUUAGAGUAAAUUAGACUAAGCUUGCUUCACGUUCUACUAGAAAUGAAAGCAGCUAGCCUUAUGUAUUUGAUGUUGGAUUUGAGGAAGAUAAAGGUGUUAUAAUAUCUUCUUUUGUGUGGGAAGGAAAUUUAGGACAGAAGAAGAGCUGACCUUUGAGAAAGUUACUAGGUAAUAUGUUUUAGGGUGCGUGCUGAUGAAUAUAACAUGUUACCAAUUUCAA